rnacentral:rRNA from 1 species
AUUGAACGCUGGCGGCAUGCCCUACACAUGCAAGUCGAACGGCAGCAUGGAAGAGCUUGCUCUUCUGAUGGCGAGUGGCGAACGGGUGAGUAAAGCAUCGGAACGUACCGUGUAGUGGGGGAUAACGUAGCGAAAGUUACGCUAAUACCGCAUAUGCACUGAGGUGGAAAGCGGGGGAUCGCAAGACCUUGCGCUAUACGAGCGGCCGAUGUCAGAUUAGCUCGUUGGUAGGGUAAAGGCCUACCAAGGCGACGAUCUGUAGCGGGUCUGAGAGGAUGAUCCGCCCCACUGGGACUGAGACACGGCCCAGACUCCUACGGGAGGCAGCAGUGGGGAAUUUUGGACAAUGGGGGAAACCCUGAUCCAGCCAUGCCGCGUGAGUGAAGAAGGCCUUCGGGUUGUAAAGCUCUUUCGGCUGGGAAGAAAUCGCACAGGCUAAUACUCUGUGUGGAUGACGGUACCAGCACAAGAAGCACCGGCUAACUACGUGCCAGCAGCCGCGGUAA